GAAAGAUACUUCGGUUGAUUUCUUAAAUGGAAAGCGGCGAAAGGGAGAGUAACGAGUAGAUACGUACCCAAGGGUUCGGAAUAGCUGUGGGAAACUGCAGGUAAUGCCGAAUAAAGUCUCCGGACCAAAGGUUUACUGCCCUUGGAGCGGUCUGCUUACUAUUAGCUUGUUGGUGGGGUAAAGGCCUACCAAGGCAAAGAUGGUUAGCGGGUGUGAGAGCAUGGCCCGUCUCACUGGGACUGAGACACUGCCCAGACACCUACGGGUGGCUGCAGUCGAGAAUCUUCCGCAAUGGACGAAAGUCUGACGGAGCGACGCCGCGUGAUGGACGAAGGCCUUCGGGUUGUAAACAUCUGUCGUAGGGGAGGAAAUUUUGACCGAUCCUAGGAGGAAGCACAGGCUAAGUUCGUGCCAGCAGCCGCGGUAAUACGAACUGUGCGAACGUUAUUCGGAAUCACUGGGCUUAAAGGGUGCGUAGGCGGGCGAGUAGGUCAGAUGUGAAAGCCCACGGCUCAACCGUGGAAUUGCGUUUGAAACCACUUGUCUUGAGGGGAUCAGAGGAGAGCGGAACUGAUGGUGGAGCGGUGAAAUGCGUUGAUAUUAUCAGGAACACCGGUGGCGAAGGCGGCUCUCUGGGAUCUUUCUGACGCUGAGGCACG
rnacentral:rRNA from 1 species